UGCCAAUCUGAUAUUACAAUGCCCUGAAACAUACACACAGAAACAAAUUAUGUUAGGGUCUAUAUCACUAUAUUUCGGGCUUUUUUUCAAAAAGUAGUCUUUCAAACCAAAAAUUACCAAAAGGGGUUACAUGAAAAAUAUUUAUCAAAAAGAAUGAGACGCUGUUUAUGCUAGAGUCUAACAUGUAAAAAUAAACAAGUAAAUAAAUAAAUAAAAUAAUAAUUGAAUAGUCAAAAAAUUAAAAAUUAAAAAAAAAUAAAAAGAGCAAGGCAUGUGUAUUAGUAGCGUCUGGCUCCCGACGGCAGAUGUACUGAAAUUCUCUAAACGCUGGACACUGCAACGAUUAAUGCCUAGCGAUUAAAACUCAAAUUUAAAUUGUUAAGGAGGCGACCAUAAUGGGAGCCUCUGAUUGGAAGCCUAGGACAGGCCCGUGGUUGGUUAAUUCUUGCUCCGUCUCUCAGCUGGAAGUUUCCUUUUAAAGAUAUAAAAUAAUGGGAGCAGCAGAAUGAGAGGAAGUGACCCCACUAAGG
rnacentral:misc_RNA from 1 species